rfam:Apaloderma vittatum contig78505, whole genome shotgun sequence.
GGCCAGUUAGCUCAGUCAGUUGAGCAUGGGGCUGACAACGCCAAGGACAUGGGUUCGAUUCCCGUUCGGUCCC